GAAGCGGCAACAGCUCAAAUUUGAAAUCUGGCGCAAGCCCGAGUUGUAAUUUGUAGAGGAUGCUUCUAGGCAGCGGCCGUUCUAAGUUCCUUGGAACAGGACGUCAUAGAGGGUGAGAAUCCCGUAUGUGACCGGCACGCACCUUGUACGUAGCUCCUUCGACGAGUCGAGUUGUUUGGGAAUGCAGCUCUAAAUGGGAGGUAAAUUUCUUCUAAAGCUAAAUACCGGCUGGAGACCGAUAGCGCACAAGUAGAGUGAUCGAAAGAUGAAAAGCACUUUGGAAAGAGAGUUAAAAAGCACGUGAAAUUGUUGAAAGGGAAGCGCCUGCAACCAGACUUCGCGGCAGUGUUCCGCCGGUCUUCUGACCGGUCUAUUCUCUGUCGCGAGGCCAUCAUCGUCUGGGGCCGCCGGAUAAGACUGGAGGAAUGUAGCUCCCCUCGGGGAGUGUUAUAGCUUCCAGUGAUGCGGCGUGUCUCGGGCGAGGUCCGCGCUUCGGCAAGGAUGAUGGCGUAAUGGUUGUCGGCGGCCCGUCUUGAAACACGGACCAAGGAGUCUAACAUCUAUGCGAGUGUUCGGGUGUCAAACCCCUACGCGUAAUGAAAGUGAACGGAGGUGGGAACUUUUUGUGCACCAUCGACCGAUCCUGAUGUCCUCGGAUGGAUUUGAGUAAGAGCAUAGCUGUUGGGACCCGAAAGAUGGUGAACUAUGCCUGAAUAGGGUGAAGCCAGAGGAAACUCUGGUGGA
rnacentral:rRNA from 3 species